rnacentral:rRNA from 1 species
GACGAACGCUGGCGGCGUGCUUAACACAUGCAAGUCGAACGGUGAACCUCUUCGGAGGGGAUCAGUGGCGAACGGGUGAGUAACACGGUGGCAACCUGCCCCCGUCCCUGUGAUAACUCCAAGAAAUUGGGGCUAAUACCGGAUGUUCACCUCUUCCCUUAUGGGUGGUGGUGGAAAGGUUUUCCGGCUGGGGAUGGGCCCGAGGCGUAUCAGCUUGUCGGUGUAGUAGUGUCAUUCCAGUGAGAAGACGGAUAGCCGACCUGAGAUGGUCACCGGCCACACGGGGACUGAGAGACGGCGCAGAAUCGAACGGGAGGCAGCAGGGGGAAACAUUGCGCAAUGGGCGGAAGCGAGACAUAGCGGCGCCGCGUGGGGGAUAACCGCCUUCGGGUUGUAAACCUAUUUCAGCGGGGACGAGGAGAAAGUGACGGUACCUGCAGAAGAAGCACCGGCCAACUACGUG